rnacentral:rRNA from 1 species
GCAGCCGCGGUAAUACGUAGGUGGCAAGCGUUGUCCGGAUUUACUGGGUGUAAAGGGCGUGUAGGCGGGCACGCAAGUUGGGUGUGAAAUACCGGGGCUCAACCCCGGAGCUGCAUCCAAAACUGCGAGUCUUGAGUGCUGGAGAGGAAAGCGGAAUUCCUAGUGUAGCGGUGAAAUGCGUAGAUAUUAGGAGGAACACCGGUGGCGAAGGCGGCUUUCUGGACAGUAACUGACGCUGAGGCGCGAAAGCGUGGGGAGCAAACAGGAUUAGAUACCCC